rnacentral:lncRNA from 1 species
UUUGUAUUUUUCUCCCCCUUUUUGUAAUAUCAAAAAGAAUGUAUACUUGGAAAACUAGGGAAAUAAUUGCACAAUAUUUAAACAUAUGGAAACAUAAGAAUAAAAAUAAAAACAAAAGAAAAAUGAAACAACCAAAGGCAAUGAAAAGAAAAACAUAUGCAACCAAUGUAAAUAUCCCAAAUAUCCAAAGAAAGGCAACCAAAUAAUCCAAAAUAGUGAUAUAAUCCAACCAAAAAGUAUAUAAAAGGCAACCAAGAAGUAUAUAAAAAGC